CACCCCCACUGCCCUAUCAUGGUCUCCAUCGUUCAGAAGGUUCCCCAAUUCAUUAGAAGAAUGGCUGGAGUACGAAGAUUCUGUUGGGUCCAAAGAGCUGGUAUCAGAGAUGAAGGAACCCCAACUACAAAUACCUGUGUAAACAUCCAGAAAACAACAAGAAGACACAGGGACACACAAGGAGAAGACUCCUCUCUCGUAUGAUGAUGGGGGCAGAGACAGAGAUGUCCAAGGAACACUGGGGCCACCAGGGGCUGGAAGAGACAAGGAAGAAUCCUCUCCUAGAGGCUUCAGAGGAGCAUGGCCAUGCCCACACUUUGACUUUGGGCUUCUAACUUGCCCAAGUGCAGGAGAAUAAAUUUCCUUUCUAAGCCACCCAGCUUGUGACACUUUGUUGUGGCAGCUACUAAAGUCCUCCUCUUGCAUCUUCAAUCUGUUCUGUUUACAACUUGUGCAAAUUAACACUAUCCUGUCUUGACCUCCUUCACUCACCAUUACUUUACUUCUCUACUGCUCUGCUCUUUCCUCCUCUCUGGCUCACGUCCCUAGAUGUCUCAUCCCUAAAUGCGUUUGUAGGUUCCUUACAGUUUUACCCCCAUACUGUUC
ensembl:lncRNA